rnacentral:rRNA from 1 species
CUACGGGGCGCUGCAGUAGGGAAUAUUGCACAAUGGAGGAAACUCUGAUGCAGCAACGCCGCGUGGAGGAUGACACUUUUCGGAGCGUAAACUCCUUUUAUAUAGGAAGAAGGUGACGGUACUAUAUGAAUAAGCGCCGGCUAACUCCGUGCCAGCAGCCGCGGUAAUACGGAGGGCGCAAGCGUUACUCGGAAUCACUGGGCGUAAAGAGCGUGUAGGCGGAUUAAAAAGUCAGAAGUGAAAUCCUAUAGCUUAACUAUAGAACUGCUUCUGAAACUCUUAAUCUAGAAUAUGGGAGAGGUAGAUGGAAUUUCUGGUGUAGGGGUAAAAUCCGUAGAGAUCAGAAGGAAUACCGAUUGCGAAGGCGAUCUACUAGAACAUUAUUGACGCUGAGACGCGAAAGCGUGGGAGCAAACAGGAUUAGAUACCCGAGUAGUC